rnacentral:lncRNA from 1 species
CUAGUUUUGAAGGUCCAAAUUUGAUUUGAAUGGUUAUAAAUACGAAAGAGAUUUUCAAAAGAAUAUAAGAAAAACCCUAGUAGAGAGACAAUGAAUGCUGAUCGACUAAGGGAAAAAAAGGAAGAGGAAGAGCUGCGCGAGCCUCCGCCUAAACAUCGACCCAAAUGGUAUUUUCUAUUAGGUGAUUAUUCAUUCCUUUGUAAUCCCGAUCAGAUAAACCUCGACAUUCUAUCUAGAAUGUUGAAGUAACACAUAUGUGUCCCCUAUUGUUCAACUAGAGGUGAAAAAAGAUUCACACUGUUAGUCGACCUAGCUCCUUUGAGAUCUGAGGAAGGGUUGUAAUUUAUACUCUAAAUCCCUAGAUUUGUAAUAAUGUAAUGAUUUUGAUUUCAUGGUUGCGAUUUAUAACAUAAUAAUUUGAUAUGAUGACAAGUUAUUCGAUCUUAAUGUAUAAAUACAUGAAAUGGGUGAUGGUUUUAGAUGUUUGAGGUGAGAUAGAAUACGAUUUAGGGUUUGGGAUAUCACAAGGGUUCAGGAGGAAAGAAAGAUGAGGAGAUCCAGGUUGGUCUAGUGGGUCAGAUCGGGUAGCCCGAGCUCGAGCCCAAUAGGUCUGAUGGGUUUAGUAAAAUGAAAAAAAAUGUAUAUAAUGAAUGAAUAAAUAAAUAAGCAGGAAGGGUAUACAUUUUGGAUGGGCUGAGCCAGCAAGAGAAAUGGGCUUUGUGAGGUGACUAAGGUCCUGGGUGGGUGGGUUGGACUUCAAUGGUUGAAAGGAAAUAAAACAAAAAAGGGUCCUGAUUCGGUGGCCGAGCCAGUAUGAAGAAAAAAAAAGGGAUCUACCUGAAUAUUGGGUUUGAAUUGAAAAUUAACAAAAAAGGGAUCAUGGCUUUGGUGAGUCGAGUCCGUAGGCUACAAAAGAAGCUUAAACACUGAUUGGCCAAGCCUUUUCUAAAUGGCUAUGAAGAUAGAAUUAGACCAAUUUAAAAGAAAAUAAAAA